AUUGAACGCUGGCGGAAUGCUUUACACAUGCAAGUCGAACGAUGAGACCUAGCUUGCUAGGUUGAUUAGUGGCGAACGGGUGAGUAAUGUAUCGGAACGUAUCCAAUAAUGGGGGAUAACUAACCGAAAGGUUAGCUAAUACCGCAUACGCCCUACGGGGGAAAGCAGGGGAUCUUCGGACCUUGCGUUAAUGGAGCGGCCGAUAUCUGAUUAGCUAGUUGGUGAGGUAAAGGCUCACCAAGGCGACGAUCAGUAGCUGGUCUGAGAGGACGACCAGCCACACUGGAACUGAGACACGGUCCAGACUCCUACGGGAGGCAGCAGUGGGGAAUUUUGGACAAUGGGCGAAAGCCUGAUCCAGCCAUUCCGCGUGAGUGAAGAAGGCCUUCGGGUUGUAAAGCUCUUUCGCAAGGGAAGAAAACUUACUUUCUAAUAAAGAGUGAGGUUGACGGUACCUUGAUAAGAAGCACCGGCUAACUACGUGCCAGCAGCCGCGGUAAUAC
rnacentral:rRNA from 1 species